UACGAAGGGGGCUAGCGUUGCUCGGACUUACUGGGCGUAAAGGGCGCGUAGGCGGCACUGUUAGUCAGGCGUGAAAGUCCUGGGCUCAACCUGGGAACUGCGCUUGAUACGGCAGAGCUAGAGGAUGGAAGAGGGUCGCGGAAUUCCCAGUGUAGAGGUGAAAUUCGUAGAUAUUGGGAAGAACACCGGUGGCGAAGGCGGCGACCUGGACGGAGAUUGACGCUGAGGCACGAAAGCGUGGGGAGCAAACAGG
rnacentral:rRNA from 1 species